rnacentral:rRNA from 1 species
CGCUGGCGGCAGGCCUAACACAUGCAAGUCGAACGUGAAGCCACCUUCGGGUGGUGGAAAGUGGCAGACGGGUGAGUAACGCGUGGGAACGUGCCUUUCGGUUCGGAAUAACCCAGGGAAACUUGGGCUAAUACCGGAUACGCCCUUCGGGGGAAAGAUUCAUCGCCGAAAGAUCGGCCCGCGUCGGAUUAGCUAGUUGGUAGGGUAAUGGCCUACCAAGGCGACGAUCCGUAGCUGGUCUGAGAGGAUGACCAGCCACACUGGGACUGAGACACGGCCCAGACUCCUACGGGAGGCAGCAGUGGGGAAUAUUGGACAAUGGGCGAAAGCCUGAUCCAGCCAUGCCGCGUGGGUGAAGAAGGCCUUAGGGUUGUAAACCCCUUUCAGCGGGGAAGAUAAUGACGGUACCCGCAGAGGAAGCCCCGGCUAACUCCGUGCCAGCAGCCGCGGUAAUACGGAGGGGGCUAGCGUUGUUCGGAAUUACUGGGCGUAAAGCGCGCGUAGGCGGACCUGCAAGUCGGGGGUGAAAGCCCGAGGCUCAACCUCGGAACUGCCUUCGAUACUGCGGGUCUCGAGUCCGGGAGAGGUGAGUGGAAUCCCUAGUGUAGAGGUGAAAUU